UACGUAGGGGGUAAGCGUUGUCCGGAUUUAUUGGGCGUAAAGAGCGUGUAGGCGGCCAGACAGGUCCGUUGUGAAAACUCGAGGCUCAACCUCGAGACGCCGAUGGAAACCGUCUGGCUAGAGUCCGGAAGAGGAGAAUGGAAUUCCUGGUGUAGCGGUGAAAUGCGCAGAUAUCAGGAAGAACACCCGUGGCGAAGGCGGUUCUCUGGGACGGUACUGACGCUGAGACGCGAAAGCUAGGGGAGCAAACAGG
rnacentral:rRNA from 1 species